rnacentral:lncRNA from 1 species
AUGAAACCAAUACCCAACAUGCUGAUUUCAGGGAGUUCGAAGCUCCAAGAAGAGGAAGAGAGCUGGGGAACAACUGGUCGGUGGAGCAGUCAGAACACACACAUUUAUCAAGUUUCCCACCUUAUAUGGACACAGAUCCACAUUACAAGAAUACUUGAAUAUCUUGAGGCUAGCAUCCAUGUCAUGAGGACCCUUAAGCAUCCGGUGGAGAGUGGUUCAAGUGGCCAAGAGCCAAGGCCUGCCAGCAACAACAUAGUGAGCUUGGAAGCUGCCACUCCUCUAUUUGAGCCUUAG